CUCACGCGGGAGGAGGUGUAGGUUAACCACUCAUAGACGCUAAACCGGGAAAUUUGAAGAAACCACGUCUUCAUAAAUUGAAACUGUUUCUUUGGAUGUUUAUAUCAAGAAAAUCACGAAGUGGACGAAAUAUGACGUAUUUUGAGUUGCUGGUUGUUAUCGCUUCAUUUUCAUCCAACAUCGUCUCCCGCUGGGAUGGGAAGUGCUGCUCCAGGCAGCAGGAACAAGGUAACUGGUCAGAGUUUCACCGCCUAAGAACCCCGUCACCCUCAACCUGUGAUGACACCCGCAGCUGGCUGACGACCACAGCAGCUUCUUCUGCAGGUUUGCAAAACAGACAUUCACACCUCCGACACACUCACCCUCACAAAAGGACUAACCACACACCAUCACAGGGUUAAAAGAAUACCCACCUGUCACCUUGAUAGACAGGAUCUGACAGAGAGGAUCCUCAUCAAGGGAAGCUGACAGCUCUGCAAAUGUCAGCAGAAAUUUGCAGACACAAACCUUUACCUCCAGGUUGGCACUAUGGAGCACUAUUUGCAGAAGCCAGAUUCCACAAAGUCAGUCUCUCCAGUGUCUUCUGUUCCUUCAUUCCUCACGUCCUCUUUCUUUCCUACCCUCUGGCAGUCUUGUCUAUUGCUCUGUCUGCCUUCCUGAACACAAUCCCCAGCUUAGCUUUCCUGCCCCUUUUGUGUCUCUGCCAUGGCUGUAAGUUUUGUUUUGUCUUUGUUUUCAAUAAGCCUCCCCAAACAGGAUCUUACCAUCUUCCACAACAACUAAAUAAAACAAGGCUGCCAGCCCAGCAAUGGUCAAAGAGUAAAUGAUGGAAAUUAAAUUAUAAGUUAUUUUAUUUCUUCUGGGUUUGUAUAAACUUGACAAUUAUACUGAAGUAGAAGAACCAUUGACAAUAGUGAGGUUUUUAACUUCACCACAACAGAGGUCCUGAGUGCUUUAAUCUUAAACCACUCUUCUUAAAGAUGGCAACUUAAAUUAUAACUGUGUUACUGUGUAAUUUAUAACCUUGACUUUAAAUGAAAUCUCCUUGGACUGGAAAUCUGUCCUUGCUACUCUUUUACAAAAAAGUGGCCUCUGUAUUUCAAACAAUUGCAGAGCAAUGUCUAAAUCUAUCUGUCUUGGCAAAGGUCCUGUUCAAAGGAUAUCUGACCAUAAACUCUUUUUUUCUCUCUCUCUCCAUUUCAGUCAGGUUUCUGCAAAAAUCACAGUAUUGUUACCUCUACUUUUAUAACUGUAAUUGGUUGAUUGAUUACUGUAAUCAAAUGUCUUUCAGGUUUUGGAAAGUAUCUCACUAUAGUAGAGCCCAGAUGGUUCAGAUAGAGGGCUAUUCUAUGGAAAAAUGUGUCCCUCAGGGCUUUGUGCUCAGUUCAUUACUAGUCAUUAUUUAUAUAAAUACUGGAUAUAUCAUUCCAAACUCAACAUUCCAAUUUUUCCAGAUGACGUCAUACGCUGCUCAGCACCCACUCCUACUGAAACCUUUCAGUCUUUACAAGUUGCAUUUGAUGUAGUGUAGGAGCCACUUUGUCAGCGGCAACUUGUUUUAAAUGCAUGAUGUUGACUGCUUCAAAAAUUCUGAACUCUACACAAUACACAACCCCACACAAUACAUGGACAACAAAUAGUUUGUCUACUUUUUAAUAAAUUGAGAAUUUUUUGA